rnacentral:tRNA from 1 species
GGAGCGGUAGUUCAGCUGGUUAGAAUACGGCCCUGUCAAGGCCGGGGUCGCGGGUUCGAGUCCCGUCCGCUCCGCCA